rnacentral:rRNA from 1 species
UUCGGGGUACUCGAGCGGCGAACGGGUGAGUAACACGUGAGUAAUCUGCCCUUCACUCUGGGAUAGCCACCGGAAACGGUGAUUAAUACCGGAUACGACCACUCCCGGCAUCGGGUGGUGGUGGAAACUUUUUGGGUGGGGGAUGUGCUCGCGGCCUAUCAGCUUGUUGGUGGGGUAAUGGCCUACCAAGGCUUCGACGGGUAGCCGGCCUGAGAGGGUGACCGGCCACACUGGGACUGAGACACGGCCCAGACUCCUACGGGAGGCAGCAGUGGGGAAUAUUGGACAAUGGGCGGAAGCCUGAUCCAGCAACGCCGCGUGAGGGAUGACGGCCUUCGGGUUGUAAACCUCUUUCAGCACCGACGAAGCGCAAGUGACGGUAGGUGCAGAAGAAGGACCGGCCAACUACGUGCCAGCAGCCGCGGUAAUACGUAGGGUCCGAGCGUUGUCCGGAAUUAUUGGGCGUAAAGGGCUCGUAGGCGGUUUGUCGCGUCGGGAGUGAAAACACCGGGCUUAACUCGGUGCUUGCUUCCGAUACGGGCAGACUGGAGGUAUGCAGGGGAGAACGGAAUUCCUGGUGUAGCGGUGAAAUGCGCAGAUAUCAGGAGGAACACCGGUGGCGAAGGCGGUUCUCUGGGCAUUACCUGACGCUGAGGAGCGAAAGUGUGGGGAGCGAACAGGAUUAGAUACCCUGGUAGUCCACACCGUAAACGUUGGGCGCUAGGUGUGGGAUCCAUUCCACGGGUUCCGUGCCGUAGCUAACGCA